CGAGAUUACAAACUUCGUCUCUCACACACAAAGCACAUUAAAUCCUAGGAAUCAUAAAAAUGGAAAUCAAUAUUCACAUUCGUUACCAAUUUUCAACGAAUGUUAGUCUAUCUGUGUAGGAAUCUUAUACAAUUUCUCAAAAAAUUGGGGGUAGAGGGCAAUGUAUCCUAAGUAUCAAGUUCAAUCUACACAGAACUGAGGGUUUAUAAUCGGCUAAGUAAUUAGUACAUGCAAUCGUUGUAGUAGAGGAAAACAUGACUGAAGAAUGCAAUGACUCUAUAGUAUCAGCACAACAGCAAGGUAUCAGAGGAAACGACUUAGUAAAAGGUUAGGGUUUUGAAAUUUUGUAAUCGUUGUUUUUGAUUUUAUUAAGUUAAUGAUUUUUUUGAACAUUAGCUUUUAAAUAUCUUAGGAGGAAAAAUAAACGAAUUUCAAUUUUUUGUUGGUAUUUAACCAUCUGUUCAAUUAUGUCGUUUAUAAUGAAAUUUUAUACAUAUUUGUUAAAUCCAAAGCUAAGCAAACAUUUUGGUCAUUAUCCAUGUAUCCACCCAUAAUCCAAUACGACUUUUAUAAUCUUUGGCCCUUUGGUGAAUUUAUUGUCAUGAUUUAUCAUAUGAGUCAGGAAUAUAAGCCACCUUUCUGUAUUGGCAAUUCAAUUAAAGAAACAGGAUUAAUUAAGGUAGAUAUAAUUUGUUUUUUUUUAUAAUAUUAUAGAUUACUAUAUUAUACAUGAUGAAUUAAUGAAGUGGCAAUUCAAUUGAAGAAUCAGGAUCAAUUAAGGUGCUUUUGAAAAUACGUGCAAAGUUUCCUCAACAUAUCACUACAAAUACAGUUGUGGUUUAGAUGUCAGUGCCAACAUACACAUCCAGGUACUUAUUAGUUACAUAACAUGUAUAUGUGUAGUUUUACAUGAAGGGUAAAAUGGUAAAAUUAAAAAGCUGGAAAAUGUGGCAAAAAAAUAGUUACAGAACAGGUCCUGUGUACAUUUAAUUAAAAUGUUAUUAUGGAUUUAUUUUAAAGUUGUAAAACUCUAUUAACAAACAUACCAUAAUCAGUUUUGUAAAGUUGAAUUCGAAAUAAACAAAACGGUCAAAUAAAAUGGUCAGAUUAAAUAAAGGGGCACGAAUAUGUAUUUAUACAUCAAAGGUAAAAUGAGAUUGACCAACAAUAAACUCAUAACAAUAUACUUUCAAAAGAGUAUUAUCAAAACCAUGAAAUCCAAAAAAAAAAUCCAUCCAAAGGCAAGAUGUUAUAAUUGACAUAAAGCUACAUUUUUUUUUUUUUCAAAAAACAAUUUAUACAUAAUAAAUAUUGUUUUAAAAGAGAUAAGUAAGAUGUUAUAAUUUACAUAAGACUGGAAAAAAAAAAUAACAUAAAAUGAUGUCAUCAUAGAACAAAAGAAUGAAAAAUGGUGAAACAUAUUGCUUAAAAAGAAACUGGAAUCAAUUUAGCAUUCGUACGAUAAAAGUACAAUUCCUGAUAGUACAUUGUUGUAUUUGGAACUUGGAGAAAGUCAUAAAUUAUUUUUUCAAUUAAAGAUUGUUGAAUAUUUUUUGUAAUUUUCAGCAAAUAACAACAAAUAAGAAGCUAUAAAAUAGAGUUUUCAUUUUAUUUUCAUAAAAAAAAAGCAACAAACCUAAACAGGUACAGAAAAAGAACAACAAGAAAAGAAACAAAACAAAAACGAUAAAAUGUGUGUUUUUUUUUUUAUAAAAUAUAAAUUGGUAAGGUUUUUUUUUUUCAUAUAAAAUAUUUACAGUUAAAAAUUGUUGCAGUAGAACAUAUGUUGUAUUCAAUUAGAAUUUCUUACGAUACAAUGUGCAUUGUAAAGCCGAAAAAGAUAGCUUAAAAAGGUCCUUGUAGUAGAAAAUUCUACAAAUAGGUUGCAUACAAAUAUACACUUCCAGUAACAGAUGUAAAAUUUUAAAAACUUAUUAUAAACACACACAAACUAACUGAUGAAGAACAUGCAUGUGCUUAAAGUUAGGGACAUAAACAUUGUUUUUUAAUAAAGGGACAUAAAUAGUAUAACUUUCGUUUACCACCUACAAAUUCAGAGGAUUAUAAAUCAGAAUAGAAACAGAUGGAGAAGAAGAAAGAAAUAGAAUAAAAAACAAAUUAUAGAUUGGAUAAGCAGAUGGUAGUUUGCAGAGAUGUAGAAGAAUUAUAGAUUGAUAGCUCUAAACACGCCACUAAAGAAAACUAAUUCGAGUAAUCAAUAUUUAUAUUUAUAAGUCUAAUGAAAAGGUAAAUAUAUAUAAUCCAAAUUGAAAUUUAAAAUUCAAAAUUGCGUAAUUUAUUUAUCUUCAUGAUUGCAUUCCUAUUAUGUUGGAGUUAUUUUGAUAAAAGAUAAUGUAAUUGAAAUAUAAAUAGCUGAUUUUAUGGGAUAUCAUAUCUUUAUUUCUUUAUCUUUAUUCUUUUAUUUAAUGCAGUAAUGUUGGAGUAUUAAAACUAAUUUGCUGAUUUAUAGGAGCUGAUGAUACCGAGUAUUGACCGCAUGGAAUGGGCGGGAAAAGCAGAUUUAAUAGAAGUGUGGUAAUGACACGUGGCAAGAAGAUGGUGUAAAAUGGUGACAUGUGGUGUUUAAAGGAGGUUUUUAUUAAGUUUGGAGAUUUUGACGAUGACCAAAUCUAACAAAUUAUACAAAUUCAGUCUCUGCUAAUUUUUUCCGACGAACAUGGUCCCUGUGUUUUCCAAAACUUGUAUGAAUGACCUUUUUUGCUGACGUCGUUAUUGUUCAUCCGUUACUGUAAAUGUAUUUUUGGUAUUUUCAAGUAAUAGAGACUAAUGUAUUUUGGUAUUUUCAAGUAACAGAGACUAAGUUUGUGACUAUAAAUACACCAUAGUGACCAUUUAUAUAAUUUUUUUUUU
rnacentral:lncRNA from 1 species